rnacentral:rRNA from 1 species
UACAGAGGUCUCAAGCGUUGUUCGGAUUCAUUGGGCGUAAAGGGUGCGUAGGCGGCGCGGUAAGUCGGGUGUGAAAUUUCGAGGCUUAACUUCGAAACUGCAUUCGAUACUGCCGUGCUUGAGGACUGGAGAGGAGACUGGAAUUUACGGUGUAGCGGUGAAAUGCGUAGAUAUCGGAAGGAACGCCGGUGGCGAAAGCGACGCGCUGGACCUCUUCUGACGCUGAGGCGCGAAAGCCAGGGGAGCAAACGGG